UAUUAUUAUGAUGGGAGAGCAAAUCCGCCGAAUUUAAGCAUAUAAUUAAGCGGAAGAAAAGAAAAUAACCAUGAUUCCCUAAGUAACGGCGAGUGAACAGGGAAAAGCUCAAAAAGGAAAAUCCUAUUCAUGGCGCAAGUCAUGUUAUGGAAUUGUCUGGUUGGGGUUUAGUCCUCUCUAUGUUUUUGUCGGGAGCGAAAUGAGUAGGAAUACUAUUUCUUAGAGGGUGAAAGGCCCGUAGUUCCCUACAAUUAUAGAUGGAUUAUUCUCUGUAGAGUAGUGUUCUUUGAGAUUGGAGCACAAAUGUGUGUGAUACAUUUCACAUAAAGCUAAAUAUUUGUAGGAAACCGAUAGCAAACAAGUACCGUGAGGGAAAGAUGAAAUAGCACUCAGGAAUGAGGUUUAAAUAGUACCUGAAAUCGUUAAGAUGGAACGGAUUGAGAGAGAAACAACGUAAUAUGGGAAUUAAUUAUUAGCUCCUAUGGAGCGUUUUUUAUUCCAUUUUAUAAAAGAAGCA
rnacentral:ncRNA from 1 species